AAGCUUGGCUCUGACUUAAUAAUAUAGCAGGAACUCAGAAAUACACAUGGUUUUUAUAGAAAGAGGCGAGGUAAAAGGUAGUAUAUUUAUAGCAAAAAGUUGUAAAAUGAUAUCUUUUUAGGUAUUAUAAAAUUUCACGAUGCCUUGAAAAGUCCCGCUAACACCAGUGCUGAAGGUUAAAAAAAGGACGAAAGUUUGUCUUAACUUAGUUCAUAAGAUUUGGUUAAUUUGGUGCCAGCAUCCGCGGUUAUACCAAGAAAUCAAGUUAUGUUGUUUGGUAAAAAGACGGUUAGACAUUAAUUUUUUAGUCUACUAAUUAUUUGUAUAAGGGUAGAAUUUGAAUACGAAUAUAUAAACUAUACAUGACCUAUAAAGUUGAAUCCGUGAAAGCCUUGAGGGAAACUGGGAUUAGAUACCCCAUUAUUCUUGGCUAUAAAAUAAAAAAAUUUACCAGAGUACUACGAACCUAAUAAAAUUUAAAACUCAAAGGGCUUGGCGGUGUUUUAGACCUCUCAGGGGAACCUGUCUCAUAAUCGACAAUCCACGAUAGACCUAACCCUGUUUUGCACUCAGUUUGUAUACCGUUGUCGUCAGGUAACUUUCAAAAAAUAAGAAGUUAGCGGUUAAAAUUAAUUAUAAAUUAAGACGUCAAAUCAAGGUGCAGCUUACAACAGGGGGAGGAUGGGUUACAAUUAUAAAUUCAUAAGAACGGAAAACACAUUGAAUAAUGUAUUUAAAGGAGGACUUGAAAGUAAAAUAAAAUACAUAAACAAUUUGAAUAAGGCUCUGAAACGUGCACACAUCGCCCGUCACUCUCGUUGAAAAAUGAGAUAAGUCGUAACAUAGCAGGGGUAAUGGAAAUUGUCCCUAGAU
rnacentral:ncRNA from 1 species